UACGUAGGUGGCGAGCGUUGUCCGGAUUUACUGGGCGUAAAGCGCGCGCAGGCGGCAGUCUAAGUCCUCUGUGAAAUCACCCGGCUCAACUGGGUGGCUGCGGAGGAGACUGGGCAGCUUGAGGGGCCUAGAGGCCGGUGGAACUCCCGGUGUAGUGGUGAAAUGCGUAGAGAUCGGGAGGAACAUCUGUGGCGAAGGCGGCCACCUGGACCAACACUGACACUGAGGCACGAAAGCGUGGGGAGCAAACAGG
rnacentral:rRNA from 1 species